UUCUAUUUUUUUUUUUUUAUUAUUCUAAUUUAAUAGAGUAAUAAUAGAUUUCUAUAUCUAUAUAUUUACUAUAUAAAUAUAAU
rnacentral:tRNA from 1 species